GUAACUAUUAACCACCUAAUGAAUAGGUCACAGAAAGGAAAACCCUUCCUCUUUGUAAAGCUUCACUUUAAAAUUAGCUGGAUCUGUUACAUUAGGUGCGGAAAAGAAAGACAAGAGGCUGUUCGUUCAGCGGAUGUUUUACCUUCUGAGAGCUCUGGGCUCCAGUAAUUCAUGUUUCAGACCUGGAAGAAGGAAAAAUAUGCAACUGCAACAGCCUCUGCUUGGAGUCACACAGCCAAAUCUGAGUUUCGUCUAUGCAGUGGAUCGCAUGUCACCUGGGGAAGUGGCCUGGCCUGGCCGUUGGCUUGUAAUUCUCCAAUCACAGCUCCUACUCCUCUAACGUAUACCCCCUGGAGGGACUGAGUCACCCCACCCUGAGGCUGGAAAUGAGAGGAUUUGCUCCUCCUGGCUUCCUCUAAAGGUCACUGUCGCUGCUGCUGCCCUGUCCCUUGGUGCUGUCACUGUGCUGAGUCCCUCCAGAUCACCCCUCCCGCUGCACGCAGGGCGGGCUGACAGCACUAAGGUUCACAGGAAGACGAUCGCUCUGCACAAAGGCCUGAAGUGCUCGUGUGAAAGGUCACUAAGUACUGUCAUCUGGUCCAGAGAGGCCGUUAGAGAAGGGCAAGCCCACUGAGAACAACAGAGUGAAGGGCAGGAUCUUAACCUCUGCCUGUGGCCCGGAGUGUCCAGAGGGACAAAGAAUUUCAUGGAGGAGCUGGUGGGGACUUGGGAGUAAGGAUGACCAGCCAGAGGAUGAGAGUUGCCUGCACUGCAUCACUAGUGGCCUGAGAGUCUCCAUCUUUCCAUGAGGGGGCUCAGGCCCUCAUUCAUUCCCCAGGUUAGGUAGGAAGCUGGGUGGCAUGACAGCAGAGGACCAGCUUAGGGGCUACUCAGGUUCUCAGGUAUGGACCCCUCCCCAGCCUCUUAUGAAAGGAUGGGAAUUCAGGGGGCUCGCUAUAGAACUCCACAUCAAAGUUUCCUGAGGUCUUGAACUAC
rnacentral:lncRNA from 1 species